rnacentral:lncRNA from 1 species
GGGACAGUCCCUCCUGUGAGGACACGGGAGGUUCCCAAGGGCAGGAAUUCGCUGCUGCUCCUGGGUGGUGUCCUCGGGGUUGGAUUUGGGGGGACGAGGGGGGUCUUGGCCUUGAUGGUCUUGGGGGUCUCUUCCAACCCUGGUGACUCGUUGGCAGUGGUUGACCUUGAUGGUCUUGGGGGUCUCUUCCAACCCUGGUAACUCGUUGGCAGUGGUUGACCUUGAUGGUCUUUGAGGUCUCUUCCAACCCUGGUAACUCGUUGGCAAUGGUUGACCUUGAUGACCUUUGAGGUCUCUUCCCACCUGGAUGACUUGGUGAUAAUGGUUGGACUCGAUGACCUUUGGAGGUCUCUUCCAACCCUGGUGACUCGUUGGCAAUGGUUGACCUUGAUGACCUUUGAGGUCUUUUCCCACCUGGAUGACUCGUUGGCAAUGGUUGGACUCGAUGACCUUGGAGGUCUCUUCCCACCUGGAUGACUCGGUGACAAUGGUUGGACUCGAUGACCUUGGAGGUCUCUUCCCCCCUGGAUGAUUCCAGGAUUCCUGAGGGGGGAAUCAGGACCCCCCCCCCGGUUGGGAUUUCCCGGCAGCCCCGGGCCUUGCUCCC